ACAGAGAGAGGGAGCAGCACCAACAACGUGGUUAUUAGCGUGGAGGUUCCACUCGCGCCGGACGCACACAAGACAGAGCAAAUGCAACUUGGAUGAAGGGACAGAUUGUAAGAAAAAAAAAAGAAAAGAGGAGCCGUGGGUGAAAGUACGGGAAGGAGCGGCGAGGGGGAUCCGUGUCCAUCUUAUUUGGAUUUUCAGCUGAUCGGUUCUCAGUUUAGUCACUUCAACAGCAACGCAAACGUCAGGGGACAGAAAGGGAGAAUAAUUUCUCUUAUUUCACUCCGCCAGUGAAAGCAGCAGCGAAACGUUCGAGUUUAGACUUUCUUCUAGCGGAAAAGUUUCAAGGUCCGGUUUUUAUUUUCUCCCAGUUUCGGGUCACUAAAUAAUUAGAGUUUUUUACUGAUAACACCCGUUUACGUUUUACGCUCAAGCCUGACUCUGACACUGGGAAAGAAACAGAUUAAUAAAUCAAAUCUAUGACAUUUUUUUAAGUCAAACCCACAACUUAAAGGCGACUCCACCGAGAAUGACACUAAGCCUGGAAUAAGUCCCCACUGCGUUGUCUGAUUAAAAGUCCUAGAACUUUAAUAAACGUUUGGCUUCGCCUGAGAAAACUUCACGUCUAGCUUUGAUAAACUAAAGCCGAAUCCAGUUGUCAACAGUUAAUAAAUAACAGAUUGGAAAUAAUUGUUCAAAUGUGCCAAGUGGCUCCGCGAUCCGGGAAAAAAUCUUUAAGGCACAAACGGCGCAUAAACAAAAGCGAUAAGGCUCAAAUCGCUGGAUGUUCGGUUCGCCAGCCAAUUCAUCAGCGCGGAUAUUGUUAUUAAGAGAAGUGGACAGAGAUUUUUGUUCGUUCUGGUCACUUUGUGCGUUUAGUCGAAUCACCCAACAAGCCUUAAUAUACGCGACGAACGAGACGCGUUAUCGCCUUUUUUCCUCCGAAGGACAGCGGCGUUGUGCCGCGCCAGACGCCCGGAAAAGAGCUCAAUUUCCCAGGCGGUCAGGAACCGACAGGACGCCUCGACGUCGCGGAGGGUCGAGAAGUAAAAGGAGAAAAAAGCACGAAUCAAACGCACCUACUGUGCGUCCACCUGUGCAGAGGAGAAGCCCCCUGAAACGCACGCCACCUAUCUUCACGGGAGGGGAUAAUUGAGGAGCGCCAAAC
rnacentral:lncRNA from 1 species